UUAAGCGACUAAGCGUACACGGUGGAUGCCCUGGCAGUCAGAGGCGAUGAAGGACGUGCUAAUCUGCGAUAAGCGUCGGUAAGGUGAUAUGAACCGUUAUAACCGGCGAUUUCCGAAUGGGGAAACCCAGUGUGUUUCGACACACUAUCAUUAACUGAAUCCAUAGGUUAAUGAGGCGAACCGGGGGAACUGAAACAUCUAAGUACCCCGAGGAAAAGAAAUCAACCGAGAUUCCCCCAGUAGCGGCGAGCGAACGGGGAGGAGCCCAGAGCCUGAAUCAGUGUGUGUGUUAGUGGAAGCGUCUGGAAAGGCGCGCGAUACAGGGUGACAGCCCCGUACACAAAAAUGCACAUGCUGUGAGCUCGAUGAGUAGGGCGGGACACGUGGUAUCCUGUCUGAAUAUGGGGGGACCAUCCUCCAAGGCUAAAUACUCCUGACUGACCGAUAGUGAACCAGUACCGUGAGGGAAAGGCGAAAAGAACCCCGGCGAGGGGAGUGAAAAAGAACCUGAAACCGUGUACGUACAAGCAGUGGGAGCACGCUUCGGCGUGUGACUGCGUACCUUUUGUAUAAUGGGUCAGCGACUUAUAUUCUGUAGCAAGGUUAACCGAAUAGGGGAGCCGAAGGGAAACCGAGUCUUAACUGGGCGUUAAGUUGCAGGGUAUAGACCCGAAACCCGGUGAUCUAGCCAUGGGCAGGUUGAAGGUUGGGUAACACUAACUGGAGGACCGAACCGACUAAUGUUGAAAAAUUAGCGGAUGACUUGUGGCUGGGGGUGAAAGGCCAAUCAAACCGGGAGAUAGCUGGUUCUCCCCGAAAGCUAUUUAGGUAGCGCCUCGUGAACUCAUCUCCGGGGGUAGAGCACUGUUUCGGCAAGGGGGUCAUCCCGACUUACCAACCCGAUGCAAACUGCGAAUACCGGAGAAUGUUAUCACGGGAGACACACGGCGGGUGCUAACGUCCGUCGUGAAGAGGGAAACAACCCAGACCGCCAGCUAAGGUCCCAAAGUCAUGGUUAAGUGGGAAACGAUGUGGGAAGGCCCAGACAGCCAGGAUGUUGGCUUAGAAGCAGCCAUCAUUUAAAGAAAGCGUAAUAGCUCACUGGUCGAGUCGGCCUGCGCGGAAGAUGUAACGGGGCUAAACCAUGCACCGAAGCUGCGGCAGCGACACUAUGUGUUGUUGGGUAGGGGAGCGUUCUGUAAGCCUGUGAAGGUGUGCUGUGAGGCAUGCUGGAGGUAUCAGAAGUGCGAAUGCUGACAUAAGUAACGAUAAAGCGGGUGAAAAGCCCGCUCGCCGGAAGACCAAGGGUUCCUGUCCAACGUUAAUCGGGGCAGGGUGAGUCGACCCCUAAGGCGAGGCCGAAAGGCGUAGUCGAUGGGAAACAGGUUAAUAUUCCUGUACUUGGUGUUACUGCGAAGGGGGGACGGAGAAGGCUAUGUUGGCCGGGCGACGGUUGUCCCGGUUUAAGCGUGUAGGCUGGUUUUCCAGGCAAAUCCGGAAAAUCAAGGCUGAGGCGUGAUGACGAGGCACUACGGUGCUGAAGCAACAAAUGCCCUGCUUCCAGGAAAAGCCUCUAAGCAUCAGGUAACAUCAAAUCGUACCCCAAACCGACACAGGUGGUCAGGUAGAGAAUACCAAGGCGCUUGAGAGAACUCGGGUGAAGGAACUAGGCAAAAUGGUGCCGUAACUUCGGGAGAAGGCACGCUGAUAUGUAGGUGAAGUCCCUUGCGGAUGGAGCUGAAAUCAGUCGAAGAUACCAGCUGGCUGCAACUGUUUAUUAAAAACACAGCACUGUGCAAACACGAAAGUGGACGUAUACGGUGUGACGCCUGCCCGGUGCCGGAAGGUUAAUUGAUGGGGUCAGCGCAAGCGAAGCUCUUGAUCGAAGCCCCGGUAAACGGCGGCCGUAACUAUAACGGUCCUAAGGUAGCGAAAUUCCUUGUCGGGUAAGUUCCGACCUGCACGAAUGGCGUAAUGAUGGCCAGGCUGUCUCCACCCGAGACUCAGUGAAAUUGAACUCGCUGUGAAGAUGCAGUGUACCCGCGGCAAGACGGAAAGACCCCGUGAACCUUUACUAUAGCUUGACACUGAACAUUGAGCCUUGAUGUGUAGGAUAGGUGGGAGGCUUUGAAGUGUGGACGCCAGUCUGCAUGGAGCCGACCUUGAAAUACCACCCUUUAAUGUUUGAUGUUCUAACGUUGACCCGUAAUCCGGGUUGCGGACAGUGUCUGGUGGGUAGUUUGACUGGGGCGGUCUCCUCCUAAAGAGUAACGGAGGAGCACGAAGGUUGGCUAAUCCUGGUCGGACAUCAGGAGGUUAGUGCAAUGGCAUAAGCCAGCUUGACUGCGAGCGUGACGGCGCGAGCAGGUGCGAAAGCAGGUCAUAGUGAUCCGGUGGUUCUGAAUGGAAGGGCCAUCGCUCAACGGAUAAAAGGUACUCCGGGGAUAACAGGCUGAUACCGCCCAAGAGUUCAUAUCGACGGCGGUGUUUGGCACCUCGAUGUCGGCUCAUCACAUCCUGGGGCUGAAGUAGGUCCCAAGGGUAUGGCUGUUCGCCAUUUAAAGUGGUACGCGAGCUGGGUUUAGAACGUCGUGAGACAGUUCGGUCCCUAUCUGCCGUGGGCGCUGGAGAACUGAGGGGGGCUGCUCCUAGUACGAGAGGACCGGAGUGGACGCAUCACUGGUGUUCGGGUUGUCAUGCCAAUGGCACUGCCCGGUAGCUAAAUGCGGAAGAGAUAAGUGCUGAAAGCAUCUAAGCACGAAACUUGCCCCGAGAUGAGUUCUCCCUGACCCUUUAAGGGUCCUGAAGGAACGUUGAAGACGACGACGUUGAUAGGCCGGGUGUGUAAGCGCAGCGAUGCGUUGAGCUAACCGGUACUAAUGAACCGUGAGGCUUAACCUU
rnacentral:rRNA from 1 species